AAGACCUUGCGCUUUUGGAGCGGCCGAUGCCUGAUUAGCUUGUUGGUAAGGUAAAGGCUUACCAAGGCUUCGAUCAGUAGCUGGUCUGAGAGGACGGCCAGCCACACUGGGACUGAGACACGGCCCAGACUCCUACGGGAGGCAGCAGUGGGGAAUUUUGGACAAUGGGGGAAACCCUGAUCCAACCAUGCCGCGUGAGUGAAGAAGGCCUUCGGGUUGUAAAGCUCUUUCAGCCGGAACGAAACGGUUACGGAUAAUACCCGUGACUACUGACGGUACCGGAAGAAGAAGCACCGGCUAACUACGUGCCAGCAGCCGCGGUAAUACGUAGGGUGCGAGCGUUAAUCGGAAUUACUGGGCGUAAAGCGUGCGCAGGUGGUUUUGUAAGUCAGAUGUGAAAGCCCCGGGCUCAACCUGGGAACU
rnacentral:rRNA from 1 species